CUCACAUACAGUCAGCCUGGGAGAGGAGGGCAUUGCACCACGCAGGACCACACAGAGGUUGCAUUCAGGAACCAAGUGCACAACCAAGGACUGUUAGAAACAGCAUCAAGAAACGGGAUACUCCCUGGUGCCUAUAAAAGGAUGUGAUGGACUUGUCUGAAUAACUCUAUAGACUGAUAGGUAACCCAGGAUAAGCAGGAACUGGUCUCUGCAAUUCCAGUGGCAUAAGUGUCCAGUGUCAGUCAAAUGCGUCACCUAAAUCUCAGCAGCGGCAGAAGAAUGUGUCCUCUUCUGAUUUGAGACAUUCUCCCUGCCUGUGUAACCUCCAAGCUUAUUUUCCUGGCAUCUCAAAAGGUUCUGUAAGGUAUCACUAUCCUUUAAUAAUUUCUUUCUGCCUUCAUCAACUCAUCAUUCUUUUGCUUACAAUAAUGUAUUUUUGACACUGGAUGCUCUAAGUUGGACUUUUGUGCUUACGACUAAACUAAUACGAAAAUUAGUGCUGGAAAAAAAAAUCGUAGGCCUUUCCAGCAAAGAAGUUGGAGAAAUUCAGGAUUUAUGGCCUGGCCUCGUUGGUGCUGACAGCCAUAAAAAUUCUUUGUACAAUUAAGGGCUUGAACUCUCUGGCAGCUCGCAGUGAUGUCAUGCAUAGGCUCUCUAUGGUCACCUGUAAUGAAGAGCCCAUUAAACAGAAAAUUUGGAAGCCUGGGUGGCUGGUGAAUGGAAGAGGAUGUAAGUCUGAGACCAUCAAGGGAUUUGAGCCUGUUGAUGUCGUGGAUUACAUCGAUUUUCAAGUGUUGAUCUAGUCACGUACAUGAGAUAAAUCUCAUUUAGUAAUGACAACCCACAACCAACCAGCGUGACCUAUUUCAUCAAUAGUUUCUUACAGAAAAUGAAGUGAGUGUGAUGGGCACUGCUGAAGAAGUAACCAAACAGAAGAAUUUCAAAACUUUAUCAAUUUCUUAUAUUUUAUCUGCUGCAAACAUCCUUCUAUUAUUCCACUCAGGACCACUCCCCAAUCCAAGAAACAGCUGGAUAGACUCGACCUAUUUCAGACUCAGCCAGACUUGCCAAGUCAUCAUAUUACAUGCGGUCUGUUGACUGAUAAGCCCGUUCUAAUAUCCCCAAUUGAUGGAGAGGAUUUUUGGCCUCAGCUAAAAUCUUCCGUUGACACUCUGCCCAGGCUGUUAUGAGGUCUCAUGUAGGCUGAAUACUUGCCCAAGUCAUAAAAGUCUACAUCAUCAAGGCAUCUGUGGACCAAGACCAGAGCUUCAUAUAUAAUCCAAAUGAAGAAAUCAAGAAGUUGGUUAAAUCAACAAUCCUGGAGCUCAGUGGGGUAAACUGAAACCGGAAACAUUUAAAUAUUGUUAGCAUGCAGGUGACAUUUAAAGCCACAAGACCAGAAAAGAUGAUCUACAAAGAGGGUAUAAUUUGAGAAAAUAAGAAUGUAAGCACUGAGUCUUAGGAAUAUUUAACAUGUGGACACAAGGAAGAGAAAAAUGACCCAGAAAAGAAAAUUGAAAGGCUUGGUAUGUGAGCAAGAAAGAAAACCUGGAAGUGUUUGGUUUCAGAAGCCAAAUGAAGACAGAAUUUCAAGAUAGUGGGACUGGCUUACUAUCUGGAAGUGCUAUCAACCAAAGUCUAAUACUAUGCAGAUAGCAACUAGCAUGGCCAAUUUUGGGAAUUCAAAGAAAAAAUUUUAAUGGAAGUGUUAAUUACUAUAAUUCAUUACAAUGAUACAUCAAAGGAGAUGAAUAAUACAAUUAUGUUUAUAAAUGUCCCAAUAAGAAAGAGUAAAGGAUAUUAAGAGUAGAAAUCUGAAACUCAGCGACUACUUUCAAACAUAGUACUUGAAAAGUUUUCUAAUUAUUUAAAAUAUAAUAUCCUAAUUUGUAUAACUGGAGUUAUAAGAGUCCUGAUUUAUAGAGGUGAGGUUGCAGUGGAAUCAUAUAGGUAAAGUUCUUAGGAUAGGGGUCAUAGAAAGUACUGAAUUUUUUUUUUUUUUUUGAGGCAGGGUUUCACUCUGUCACCCAGUCUGGAGUGCAGUGCUGUGAUCAUGGCUCACUGCAGCCUCAACUUCUGGACUCAGGUGAUUCUCUUGCCUCAGUCUCCCAAGUAGCUGGGACUAUGUGCACCACCAUGCCUGGCUAAUUUUAAUACUUUUUGUAGUGACAGGAUCUCGCUAUGUUGCCCAGGCUGGUCUAGAAUUUCUGGGCUCAAGCAAUCCGCCCACAUCAGCCUCUUAAAGGGCUGGGAUUACAGGUGUGAGACACUGUGCCUGGACUGAAUAAUCAUUUUUAAUUAAAAUUUGAUAAGAAUGAACUCCCAUUCCUAACUGUUAAAGAAGAUUAUUUUUCUUUAACAUGAUAAAAAGUCUUAAACUACAGCAAAACUUUAAGGUAAAUUAAUUUUCACUGCAGUUACUUAACAAUAUCUUGGAAGUUCAUGCUAGGUGAGAGAGUUCUAAAGAAAACAAGUAAUUGCUAUUAGAAAAGGAAAGAGUAACAUCACCUGUCUGCAGAUAAUAUAAUUAUCUAUCUAGAAAUUUAGAGAGAAUAAAGUACUAUUUAAACCAAGGUAAUUUGCUCAUAUAUCCAGAUGAAAAAUAAAUGUGUGACAACUAGUACUCUUGCUAUUUAUCAGUAACUCUCUGGUAGGGUACAUGAGAAAGGCCAUAUCUCAUUGAUUAUUCAAAUUUUAAAAUAUUAAAUAUCCAAAAAUGCAUAGUCAUUGUAUAUCCAUAUAUUAUCAAAAUAUUCAGAGUAUUAUUACAUUCUUUUCAGGGACAUAAAAUAACAUCUUAAUUAUAUAUGUGUGUAAUAUUCUCAGAUGGGAAAAUGCCAUAAACAGCUAUCCCCAACACAUUUAUAUAGAUUUUUUUCAAAAAUUAGAAGAAAAAUUCCUUCUGGAAGGAACAGUUUUAAUUUUUUUUCUCCUAAGUUCAACACUUCUUUUUGGGAAGAAUAGAAAGAUCAGCCAAUAAAAUGUUAAAUGACAAGAGUCAGAAGGAGGGCACUUACUAGCCUCCCAGACAGUAAAACAUACAAAAAAUUCAUGAUGAUAAAAACAGUAUUUGUACUGGUGUAGUAGUAAAGUUCACUUUAUAUAUGAAUAUAAAUAUCAUAUUCUGAAGGCAUGCUGAAUUAGUGUGUUUCAAAUUAAUGGAACUGGAAAGACUGACUAAUCAUUUGAAAGUAAAUUAAGAAUCUUAUUUUGCCAUGAGCCCAAAUAUGCAGCAGAUGAACUGAAGACAAACAUAUAAAUAAUGGAACCAUUAAUUUUUAAGAUGAAUGUAUUUGUAAAUCUUUCUAAAAUUUCAGCUUUAGGGAUUACUUUUGCCUUAUUGUAAUAAAGACUAGCUUUCUAAAUUUCAAAGAUGGAUCUAGAGGAUAUUUUGUCCUUCAAAUGAGUGGGAUUUUACACUAGAAAUACAGGCUCACAAGAUAGGAAACUAAGCAAGUUUUAAUUUUUCCUCCUAGACUGUUCCUGUGGGUAAUGAAAUGGCAGGGAGUGGUAGCUAAAGAUAGUAGAGAGGAAUAGAGAUUUUCACACUCUCAGCUGAAUUGGUGCACACCAAUGGAAAAGAGAUUAGACUUUAAUCUUGCUGCCUGUGUGUCUCCAAGAAAACUGGGUCUUGUCUUCCCAGGGAAGGCACUCUACUUCCCCUUGCAGGUCUUAACACUCAAACAACUGCAGCUUUGGUGAAGUGCCUAUCUUAUUUCAUAGAACUACUCCAGACAGCCACCUGGAAGUCUCUGUUUAUAGGGCCAACUAGGUAUGGUUUAAAUCUUAUCAAGAAUUGCCAAGAAGACUCAAUUUUCUCUUAUCUCUCUCUCUCUCAUACACAUAUCCUACUUAAAAUAUAUUACGAAAUAUUCUUUCAUUAAAAAAAUUUAAUUCUAAAUUUAAUUCUAAAUUCAAGCUUUUGCCUUAUUAACUUGAAUCUGUCAACUUUAUACUUAACUCACAUAAUGUCUACAAGUUUCCAGCAAUUUAGUGAACAUGCUGGUGUUAAAGUAUUUUUAUAAAAGAGUGUGAUACCACAGUUUCUUCCCCUAAAUAAAUGUUGGGUGAAAAAUUAACAUCUGACAGGAGAUAAUAUUUGCAGCAUAUAAGAGUUAAUAUCAAUACAUCUUUAAAAUCUUAAUAAAUAAGGGACAAAUAAAUAUCCCAAUGGAAAUUUUGGAAAAUGCCUAAGCAAACAAUUCAGAAAUGGAUAAAUAUAUAUCAGCAAUUAACAUAGAUUUAAAAUGUUCAUUUUUCCUAGAAAGCUAAGUAGAUGCAAAUUAAAACAGUAAUACAACAUUUUAAAUUUUCAAAUGGGAUUUUAAAAAUAAAAUAACAAGACUGUAUAAAUAGGAAUUUUUAUAUAUUUUUAAAAAUUGUAAACGGACACCAUAUUUAGGACAAUUCAGCAGUACAUAGUAAGAAAUAAAUUUCUCACUGAAUGCCAAGACAUUCUUUUAAGCUACUGUGUAUAUUAGCUCACUUAAUCUUCAUAACAGUCUUGAGGUGUAGGUAUUAUUAUAGAUGGUGGACACUACAGAAGUGAGAAAAAUGACACACAGAGGGUAUUUGUGACAUUCCUAGGUGACAUAGCUAGCAGGGGGCAGGACCAGGGGUCUAACUAAGGCAGGCUGCUUUCACAGUCCAACUUCAAAAGUACUCUUCUGUCACCCUGCUCAAGGUUUUACAAUAGAAGUACUGCUGACAUACAAACUUACGUUAGAAGAAGAUGCUAAGGAAAUAGUCAUGAACAUCCAUAAAAAUUUCCUUACCAAUGUAUCUUAGCAACACCGUUUACACUAGAAGAAAAUUGAAAACAUCCAACACAGAGCGUACCUGAAUAUAAUAAGUGAAAUAAAGAUAUAUUGAAGUUAUUAAAAUGUUAUAAAAAGUAUGAGAUGAUAUAAAAAAUGUGCAAUAUAUUUAUUUGGUGAAAAUACGUUAAAACAGUACAAUAUAACAUUGUUUACAGACUCUGAAAUUAUAAAUAUCAAGGUAAUGGGUUAUUGUGUUUGAUUAACGAUAUUUUUGUUUACUUUUAAGGUGUAUUUAUUUCUAUAAAUAUUAUAAAAAAUCAAAUAAAUCUUUUAAGAUAGAAGAAAACACAUAUGAAAUUACUUAGUCUCCUCUAGGUAGACAGGGUUAUUGUUUCUUUUUUGUAACUUUCAUUUUAGGUUCAGUGGUACAUGUGAAGGUUUCUUAUAUAGGUAAAUUUGUGUCCUAAAGGUUUGUUGUACAGAUUAUUUCAUCAACCAGGUAUUAACCCUGGUACUCAAUAGUUAUUUUAUUUAUUUAUUUGUUUUUGCUCCUCUCUUUCCUCCCACCCUCCACCUUCAGGAAAAACUGAAAAGAAUUCAACAUGAUAUUUUUAUAUUUGACUAUAUAAAAAUGUAAAAUAUCUGUAUGAUAAAAUCAUUAAACUUUGAGGGCAAAUUUUAAAAUGUGAAAAAUAAA
rnacentral:lncRNA from 10 species